rnacentral:lncRNA from 10 species
UUUUCCCCAACCUCAGGAGUUAACUCCUCAGUACCUCACAGGAACCUGAAAUCUUUGGAGGAAAAAAAAAUAGUAUUAUUUUAAAAAUUAAAAAUAAUAAAGAUGGCUCUCUAAAGAAACAUCUGAAAUUAGUAGUAACAUGCUGUAAUAUUAUUUUCCAUUGACUGUAGCCAAGGGCCUCUGCUAGCACCCAUGAGAACUUUGUGUUCUUGAGAAUAAGACACCUUUGCUCCAGGGCUUAGUGAGCAGGGCCUGAACUGGAGUUCCCUCCCACCACCUUAACUGAACUCUUCAUGCAGGACACAGCAUGUACAACCUCACAUAGAGUUCCUGACCAGACAAGACUUGCUGGAAAUUUCCCAGGAUCUUCCUUCCUUAAGAUGUCUCUGUGUUAGGAAAACUUGGAUAAGCAGGUCCAUAGAAAUUCCUCUGCUAGCCCUGUCUCCUGGAAUUUCUACAUAAUGGCAUAUCCUCAGUUUGAAUAGCUCUCUGGUUCCAGUUUGAAGCUGAAAAGGUUAAAUUCUACCUGAAGGAUGAAAACAACCAACAUUCUGUGCCAAGACAGUCAGGAGGGCAACCAUGUUUCCUGGUGGAGCCUCUGGAACCACUCAAGCCAAGAUGACCGGGGGUUUGGCUGGGAGGAGAUGGGGAAACUACAGACCCUACAGAUGGUUUCCUGUACCAUGAGGUUAAGCCUGGGGGCAGGAGAGGCUGUACCUUAGUUCCUUCAUCUGUAAAAUAAAGUAACAUAGUACCUACCUCAUAAGGGUGUUCUAAUGAUUGAACUUAUUAUACGUAAACUUUGAACAGUUUGUGGCUCAGAUUAUUAUUUCUAGUUUCUCAGAUCAGUUUUUCUGUAUUUUGACCUUGCUUAUUCUUUUGAAUGCUGCUGACAGUUCUCACAUUUCUCUUUAUCCUUUGUUGUCCAGCCAGGUUUUAAAAAGAAGGUGUAGAUCACUAGGGUUUCUUUCCUCUGCUGUUGCAUGAGUAGGAUUAUUUUCCUUCUAGGUCUCUGUAAGAAGAGUUUUGACCGAGAACUUCAUGCACUCUGUUGAAAUGGAGCACAUCUGCUAUAAAACUUCACUUUAGGGGCUGAUGAGCAGGAACUGAAUGUCAAGCUAUAGAUCCCUAAAUAAGGUUGGCUUUCAUAUGCCCUAUAUCCUUUUCAAGAUUUCAGUUAAUAGGGCAUUAAAUGGGAGUAGUGAUGAUACACUAAAGUGGUAGAUAUUGUGAAAAGAAUGUAUAGAGUACAAUAAAAUCUUUACAUAAGUUCUGCACUUGACAAGGGAGAAGAAUCAAUUGCUUAAUUAAAAGUGAAAUGUUUUUAUCACUUUGAGAUAAUGCCCUAGGAUGAUUUUGAAAGUGACAUGUAGUUGACUCUCUAGAAUUGAGAGUAAUUCUAGAAUCAUUAUGAUAUUUUUUUGUGCAUCCUUUAAUUUUAUUUAAUAGGACAAUAGAUUUUUAUUUCCCCCAGGCCGAGGCAAUGGAGUAUCUUUGAGUAAUCUGCAAGCUGGUCCAAAGGGAAUAACAAAGGAGGAAAUAUUCUUCGUAAACAAGCCCUGCAACCCAAAAGUGGAGUAAGAAUUUCCUGUCCCAGUCUUAGGAGAUGGUCAAAAGCUCUGCAUAUUUCUCCACUGAAUUAGAUUUCAUAACUUCCUGUGAUGUCAUUUGCUAUUUUUCCCCUGGCUUGAGUUAGGACUUCCCUUUCAGAGUUUUGUCAACCCAGUUUUCUUUAGACCACUUUAGAAGCAAGAAUAUCUACUACAGAUUCAUGAAAAGAGCACUGAAUAAGAAGUUAGGAUAAGUGGAUUUCUAAGGCCAAUUUUCCUUCUUACAAUUUGACUUCAGAAACGAGUACUCAUACCAAGCUCACAUUUCCUAAAUAAUUCACAUUCUUGAAAGGUAGAAAGAGCUGUCUUACGAAAUGGUGUGUUUCCUGUCAUUGAAAGUAUGCCAAAAGAUGCUUGAAAACCACUUCUUAAGACUCUUGUGCAAUUUUCAUAUAAUAAGAUUAGACUUGAUGGUUCUAUAAAAAAAACUCUCUGAAUCUUGAAACUCAAUGAUUCUGUGCUUUAGUUCUAUGAAGAGAAGAGAAGCAGGGAGGGAAUGAUGAAGGGAUCUAGCAUAUCUAUUCAGCCUUGUGUGGAUUUCAGCCUUGGUCUCUGGAGAUGCUUCAAGCUUCCUAAAGUGGUACUUCUGCCUGUCCAUUCUGACUCC